ensembl:rRNA 5S_rRNA 5S ribosomal RNA
GUCUACGGCCAUACCACCCUGAACGUGCCCGAUCUCGUCUGAUCUCAGAACCUAAGCAUGGUCGGGCCUGGUUAGUACUUGGAUGGGAAGCGGUUCAGCAAGGCAUGGUGUAGGGACC